AACGACUCUCGGCAACGGAUAUCUCGGCUCUCGCAUCGAUGAAGAACGUAGCGAAAUGCGAUACUUGGUGUGAAUUGCAGAAUCCCGUGAACCAUCGAGUCUUUGAACGCAAGUUGCGCCCGAAGCCUUCGGGCCAAGGGCACGUCUGGCUGGGUGUCACACAGCA
rnacentral:rRNA from 1 species